AACGAACGCUGGCGGCAUGCCUAACACAUGCAAGUCGAACGAGAUCUUCGGGUCUAGUGGCGCACGGGUGCGUAACGCGUGGGAAUCUGCCCUUUGGUUCGGAAUAACAGUUGGAAACGACUGCUAAUACCGGAUGAUGACGAAAGUCCAAAGAUUUAUCGCUAGAGGAUGAGCCCGCGUAGGAUUAGCUAGUUGGUGUGGUAAAGGCGCACCAAGGCGACGAUCCUUAGCUGGUCUGAGAGGAUGAUCAGCCACACUGGGACUGAGACACGGCCCAGACUCCUACGGGAGGCAGCAGUGGGGAAUAUUGGACAAUGGGCGAAAGCCUGAUCCAGCAAUGCUGCGUGAGUGAUGAAGGCCUUAGGGUUGUAAAGCUCUUUUACCCGGGAUGAUAAUGACGGUACCGGGAGAAUAAGCUCCGGCUAACUCCGUGCCAGCCGCCGCCGUAA
rnacentral:rRNA from 1 species